rnacentral:sRNA from 1 species
AGGGAAGAGGAGGCCAGAGAAGGGCGAAACCUGCAACGUGGCGGGGUCUAAGGAAGGUCGGAGCUCGGGGGAAUACGCAGGUUUUGGAAGAAGGCGGGAGCUGACGAAGAGGCGGGGCACCGGGAAAAGAGGCGCUCCCCAGAGAGGGCGGGGUUUGGGCAGGGACAAUCCUAUCCGGAGAUUGUCUUGCACAGCCUGGGCCAGAAGUGUUUAAGCUUUUCCCGAGCAGAGACAGUGGCACAGCUGAGGAGCACAGAACCUCAACUGUCUGGUGUGGGUGACCGGCAGUGGUUGUAUCAGACAUGUACCGAGUUCGGCUUCUGGGACACAGACCCCUGGCAUGUGCUAAGUGUAACACAGGCUUUAGGAUCCUCAGAAUCAACUCUUCUUAUCCGCACUGGCUCCCACUGCUUGGACAUGGCACCUGAGAGGCCCUCAGACUCCCCCAGCCUCCGCCUAGGGCGCCAGAACAUCUUCCAGCAGCUACAGACCUGGCUCAAGCUGGCAAAGGAGAGCCAGAUUAAGGGUGAAGUCUGAAUCUCAUACCCUUUCCACUCCCUGCAUGGUC